rnacentral:rRNA from 1 species
UGACAGUACUCCUACGGGGAGGCAGCAGUGGGGGAAUAUUGCACAAUGGGCGCAAGCCUGAUGCAGCCAUGCCGCGUGUGUGAAGAAGGACCUUCGGGUUGUAAAGCACUUUCAGUCGUGAGGAAGGUAGUGUAGUUAAUAGCUGCAUUAUUUGACGUUAGCGACAGAAGAAGCACCGGCUAACUCCGUGCCAGCAGCCGCGGUAAUACGGAGGGUGCGAGCGUUAAUCGGAAUUACUGGGCGUAAAGCGCAUGCAGGUGGUUUGUUAAGUCAGAUGUGAAAGCCCGGGGCGUCAACCUCGGAAUAGCAUUUGAAACUGGCAGACUAGAGUACUGUAGAGGGGGGUAGGAAUUUCAGGUGUAGCGGUGAAAUGCGUAGAGAUCUGAAGGAAUACCGGUGGCGAAGGCGGCCCCCUGGACAGAUACUGACACUCAGAUGCGAAAGCGUGGGGAGCAAACAGGAUUAGAUACCCUGGUAG